rnacentral:rRNA from 1 species
AGCGGCGGACGGGUGAGUAACGCGUGGGUAACCUGCCCUAUACACACGGAUAACAUACCGAAAGGUAUGCUAAUACGAGAUAAUAUAAGAGAUUCACAUGGAUUUCUUAUCAAAGCUGAGGCGGUAUAGGAUGGACCCGCGUCUGAUUAGCUAGUUGGUAAGGUAACGGCUUACCAAGGCGACGAUCAGUAGCCGACCUGAGAGGGUGAUCGGCCACAUUGGAACCGAGACACGGUCCAAACUCCUACGGGGGGCAGCAGUGGGGAAUAUUGCACAAUGGGCGAAAGCCUGAUGCAGCAACGCCGCGUGAGUGAUGAAGGCCUUCGGGUCGUAAAACUCUGUCCUCAAGGAAGAUAAUGACGGUACUUGAGGAGGAAGCCCCGGCUAACUACGUGCCAGCAGCCGCGGUAAUACGUAGGGGGCUAGCGUUAUCCGGAUUUACUGGGCGUAAAGGGUGCGUAGGUGGUCUCUUAAGUCAGGAGUGAAAGGCUACGGCUUAACCGUAGUAAGCUCUUGAAACUGGGAGACUUGAGUGCAGGAGAGGAAAGUGGAAUUCCUAGUGUAGCGGUGAAAUGCGUAGAUAUUAGGAGGAACACCAGUAGCGAAGGCGGCUUUCUGGACUGUAACUGACACUGAGGCACGAAAGCGUGGGGAGCAAACAGGAUUAGAUACCCUGGUAGUCCACGCCGUAAACGAUGAGUACUAGGUGU